UACGUAGGGUGCAAGCGUUGUCCGGAAUCAUUGGGCGUAAAGCGCGCGUAGGUGGCUUCGUAAGUCCGUUGUGAAAGUCAAAGGCUCAACCUUUGAAUGCCGAUGGAUACUGCGAAGCUAGAGUACGGAAGAGGCGAGUGGAAUUCCUGGUGUAGCGGUGGAAUGCGCAGAUAUCAGGAAGAACACCAACGGCGAAGGCAGCUCGCUGGGACGGUACUGACGCUGAGACGCGAAAGCGUGGGGAGCGAACAGG
rnacentral:rRNA from 1 species